UACAGAGGGGGCAAGCGUUGUUCGGAAUUACUGGGCGUAAAGGGCGCGUAGGCGGCCUUCUAAGUCGAACGUGAAAUCCCCGGGCUCAACCCGGGAACUGCGUCCGAUACUGGAAGGCUUGAAUCCGGGAGAGGGAUGUGGAAUUCCAGGUGUAGCGGUGAAAUGCGCAGAUAUCAGGAAGAACACCGAUGGCGAAAGCAGCUCUCUGGGACGGUACUGACGCUGAGGCGCGAAAGCGUGGGGAGCGAACAGG
rnacentral:rRNA from 1 species